rnacentral:rRNA from 1 species
CAGUAGCCGCGGGAAUACGUAGGGUGCGAGCGUUAUCCGGAAUGAUUGGGUGUAAAGGGUGUGCAGACGGCUUAUUAAGUCACUUGUUAAAUUCUUCGGCCUAACUGAAGGUCUGCAAGUGAUACUGAUGAGCUAGAGGGUGGAAGAGAGAAGUGGAAUUCUCGGAGUAGCGGUAAAAUGCGUAGAUCUCGAGAGGAACACCAAUGGCGAAGGCAGCUUCUUGGUCCAUUCCUGACGUUCAUACACGAAAGCGUGGGGAGCAAACAGGAUUAGAUACCCCAGUAGUCCCUGUCUCUUAUAC